AUGAAGGGCGAGGUAGGAAUAAAAGGAGACAAGGGAGAAAUUGGAAUGGGAACCCCUGGUGCUGUUGGACCUAAAGGAGAAAAGGGAAUUCGCGGAACCACUGGUACAAAAGGCGCAUCCGGUUCGAUUGGAAAGGAUGGAAUUAAGGGUGAUAUUGGAC